rnacentral:rRNA from 1 species
UACGUAGGUGGCAAGCGUUGUCCGGAAUUAUUGGGCGUAAAGUGCGCGCAGGCGGUCCUUUAAGUCUGAUGUGAAAGCCCACGGCUCAACCGUGGAGGGUCAUUGGAAACUGGGGGACUUGAGUGCAGAAGAGGAAAGCGGAAUUCCACGUGUAGCGGUGAAAUGCGUAGAGAUGUGGAGGAACACCAGUGGCGAAGGCGGCUCACUGGCCCGAUACUGACGCUGAGGCACGAAAGCGUGGGGAGCAAACGG